GCGUGCUAACUUUAGCCCAUGUUGUAAGCUACUGUCAGCUUCCUUUCACCAACAGGCUGAACCAGUUCAACUAACUCAACACGUCCUGGAGAAAUAACAAGGAAAUAUGACAUAAUGUAAACAAACCCAGUGAUAAGAGGUGUCAUGAUGUUAAUAUAUCACUGUUUGAGCCCUCAGUGCUUCAUGAAGGUUUUACCCAAAGAAGUUACAGAGUUGUCAAAAGGAUAUCCAUUGAAAGCCCCUUUUGUCAUCCUAUCCUCUUACUCAUGAGCUAAAAAUAUGUAGUUCCCCUGUUACUGGUGAGUCCUGUAGUGUGAAUGUGUGACUUUACAGGGCAGCUCAUUUGAAUGUGUGAUGAAAACACACACAAUAAAAUCCUGAAUGAUCACCAUUGCCUUGG